UGUGGGAGCGGGCUUGCUCGCGAUGCAGGCGGCGCGUUCAUUCAGUUGAAACGCGUCGACACCAUCGCGAGCAAGCCCGCUCCCACA
rnacentral:misc_RNA from 1 species